rnacentral:rRNA from 1 species
GACGAACGCUGGCGGCGUGCCUAACACAUGCGAGUCGAACGGAGUCGGCCCCGCAAGGGACUGACUUAGUGGCGAACGGGUGAGUAACGCGUGAGCAACCUGCCUUUCAGUGGGGGACAACAGUUGGAAACGACUGCUAAUACCGCAUAAUGCAUUUUGACCGCAUGAUCGAGAUGCCAAAGAUUUAUUGCUGAAAGAUGGGCUCGCGUCUGAUUAGAUAGUUGGUGAGGUAACGGCCCACCAAGUCGACGAUCAGUAGCCGGACUAAGAGGUUGAACGGCCACAUUGGGACUGGGAGACGGCCCAGACUCCUACGGGAGGAAGCAGUGGGGAAUAUUGGGCAAUGGGGGAAACCCUGACCCAGCAACGCCGCGUGAAGGAAGAAGGCUUUCGGGUUGUAAACUUCUUUUACCAGGGACGAAGAAAGUGACGGUACCUGGAGAAAAAGCCACGGCUAACUACGUG